AUAAAGGUUUCAUUAGAAACCAAAACAGUGAUCGUUAAAUAAAUAUU
rfam:Xenopus tropicalis strain Nigerian Chr03_contig_892, whole genome shotgun sequence.